CGGGGCUAAACCAUGCACCGAAGCUGCGGCAGCGACGCUUAUGCGUUGUUGGGUAGGGGAGCGUUCUGUAAGCCUGUGAAGGUGUGCUGUGAGGCAUGCUGGAGGUAUCAGAAGUGCGAAUGCUGACAUAAGUAACGAUAAAGCGGGUGAAAAGCCCGCUCGCCGGAAGACCAAGGGUUCCUGUCCAACGUUAAUCGGGGCAGGGUGAGUCGACCCCUAAGGCGAGGCCGAAAGGCGUAGUCGAUGGGAAACAGGUUAAUAUUCCUGUACUUGGUGUUACUGCGAAGGGGGGACGGAGAAGGCUAUGUUGGCCGGGCGACGGUUGUCCCGGUUUAAGCGUGUAGGCUGGUUUUCCAGGCAAAUCCGGAAAAUCAAGGCUGAGGCGUGAUGACGAGGCACUACGGUGCUGAAGCAACAAAUGCCCUGCUUCCAGGAAAAGCCUCUAAGCAUCAGGUAACAUCAAAUCGUACCCCAAACCGACACAGGUGGUCAGGUAGAGAAUACCAAGGCGCUUGAGAGAACUCGGGUGAAGGAACUAGGCAAAAUGGUGCCGUAACUUCGGGAGAAGGCACGCUGAUAUGUAGGUGAGGUCCCUCGCGGAUGGAGCUGAAAUCAGUCGAAGAUACCAGCUGGCUGCAACUGUUUAUUAAAAACACAGCACUGUGCAAACACGAAAGUGGACGUA
rnacentral:rRNA from 1 species